AGGUAGGGUGGCCGAGUAGGCGGCGAGUUGUAGCCUCGUGCACGGGUCAAAAAGGCCCCUCAACCAA
rnacentral:tRNA from 1 species